GAUAAUAGGCAAACAAGAAAUAAAUAACAAGGGGACAAACAGGAGAACACUGUGAAGGUGGGAUGAUAAUAGGCAAACAAGGAAUAAAUAACAAGGGGAUAAACAGGAGAACAUUGUGAAGUUGGGAUGAUAAUAGGCAAACAAGGAAUAAAUAACAAGGGGACAAACAGGAGAACACUGUGAAGGUGGGAUGAUAAUAGGCAAACAAGGAAUAAAUAACAAGGGGAUAAACAGGAGAACACUGUGAAGGUGGGAUGAUAAUGGGCAAACAAGGAAUAAAUAACAAGGGGAUAAACAGGAGAACACUGUGAAGGUGGGAUGAUAAUAGGCAAACAAGGAAUAAAUAACAAGGAGAUAAACAGGAGAACACUGUGAAGGUGGGAUGAUAAUAGGAAAACAAGAAAUAAAUAACAAGGGGAUAAACAGGAGAACACUGUGAAGGUGGGAUGAUAAUAGGCAAACAAGGAAUAAAUAACAAGGGGAUAAACAGGAGAACACUGUGAAAGUGGGAUGAUAAUAGGCAAACAAGGAAUAAAUAACAAGGGGAUAAACAGGAGAACACUGUGAAGGUGGGAUGAUAAUAGGCAAACAAGGAAUAAAUAACAGGGGGAUAAACAGGAGAACACUGUGAAGGUGGGAUGAUGAUAAUAGGCAAACAAGGAAUAAAUAACCAGGGGAUAAACAGGAGAACACUGUGAAGGUGGGAUGAUAAUAGGCAAACAAGGAAUAAAUAACAAGGGGAUAAACAGGAGAACACUGUGAAGGUGGGA